rnacentral:lncRNA from 1 species
AAUGUGGUCUAUCACUUAAACAAUGUAUUUCUGAGCAGAAGUUUGCUGGUGUUUGAAUGAUGUUUCUAUUGCUAUUUAAGCUUUCAGGAAGAUGAAAUAUUUUACCCUGAGUGAUGGAAACUGAGAAGCUGUUAGAGUGAAAAGAUGAGAGUAUGGAAAACAUACACUGUGAAAUUCCAUGUUUGACCUGACUGUUGAAAUAGAGCUUGAGUUUUGAAAACAAACACACAUAAAAACAACAGAAACUCCUACAAAGGAGUUUUGAUGUGUUAUAAAUGCCUAUAUCACUAAUGCAAAGGUAUUUUCUCAUUUUUUAAAUGUUUGCAGCAAGUUUUUGUAGUUCCUCUCUGAGCUGGCCAUCGUGCAAAGUAUGACACUAAAGGAAAGCUUGUAGAGAACAGUGUGAUGGAGGAAAUAAUGACUUGUGAGUCUAGAAACCUACCACAGGAGCUAGAGCUUCAUGAUUUCUAUCAAAAGGUUCUGGCUUUGGUACUAAAGCAAGCAGGCAGCAUUCUUUCACUCAGGCCUUUGGGAUAUGUACUGUGGAAAACAGUUCUUCUGAUACAGAAGCAUCAGAGAGAGAGAUCUGGGUCAUCAGAUUUGAGACUUCUUGGCUUAGUCUGCUGUGUUGUCAGUUCUGUAGAGCCAGUCCCUCAAAGUUCCAGCCCAAGAACUUUAAAUCUUUGCAGCCUCAAGGGAUUGAAGGGUCUCAAGGCUCUAGACCUGAAUCCUAGAGAUAGAAUGAGCUGCAUCCACCUAAAUAAUGUAACUCACUACGGAACUAAUAAUCUUCCCUUGGAAUUAAUUUCAUGCUGUGUAUGCUAAGGUAAAAAUAUUUUUGGUAAAACACUUCAAUAUCAUCCUCUAUCAGCUGUAAGUCCCCUUUUGAUUUUGAGCCACAACAC